GACGAACGCUGGCGGCGUGCUUAACACAUGCAAGUCGAACGGUAAGGCCCUUCGGGGUACACGAGUGGCGAACGGGUGAGUAACACGUGGGUGAUCUGCCCUGCACUUCGGGAUAAGCUUGGGAAACUGGGUCUAAUACCGGAUAGGACCACGGUCUGCAUGGAUUGUGGUGGAAAGCUUUUGCGGUGUGGGAUGGGCCCGCGGCCUAUCAGCUUGUUGGUGGGGUGAUGGCCUACCAAGGCGACGACGGGUAGCCGGCCUGAGAGGGUGUCCGGCCACACUGGGACUGAGAUACGGCCCAGACUCCUACGGGAGGCAGCAGUGGGGAAUAUUGCACAAUGGGCGCAAGCCUGAUGCAGCGACGCCGCGUGGGGGAUGACGGCCUUCGGGUUGGUAAACCGUCUUUCCUAGCAUCGACGAAGACGGCAAGUGACGGUAGAUGCAGAAGAAGCACCGGCCAACUACGUAGCCAGCAGCCGCGG
rnacentral:rRNA from 1 species